UAAUUUGCUCCGUUGCAUACAAUUUUAUCAUGCACUUGUAAUUUAUUUAUAUAUCUGACACCCUUAUGCCUUAAUUAGCAUUAAGGAUGUCACAGAUGGUAUCAGAGUAGUUACAUGGACUAAAUCCCUUACAACUGAGGCUGUAGGUAGAAAAUCUCUUAGGAUAUCUAGAAACAUAAGUCAUCUUUUCCAAAAACUAGACCACUGACUCGUGUCUUUUUUUUUUUAUAGGAAUGACAUAAGGGAGGCCUUCUGUAUAACGUAUUGAAAUACUCGAGCCCAGAAUCAUCUAACAAAGUCAAAUUUACCGAACUCUUUCGAGUUAUCCAAGGAUUGAUCGCAGCCAUAGGACAGAAUCAAGCCAACCCUUGUCAGCACCUUGUCCCAGAAUACCGAAUAGCCAAAAGGUCUAUCUCUCACAAUAUAGUGGAGUUUAGGAAGCUUAACCCACCACACUUUCAAGGUAGCCCUAACCCUUUAGUAGCCGAAGCCUGGAUCGUAUUGAUAGAGAAGCUUUCCUCUGUCCUAAACCUAACUAAGGAAUAGAAAGUCCCCUUAGCAGCCUUUGUGCUGAUCGGUGAAACAGAACACUGGUGGUGACUUAAGAAGGAAAUCUUUCCUACCCCUAUCACCUGGGAAGAUUUUAAUGAACACGUCCUU
rnacentral:lncRNA from 1 species